rnacentral:rRNA from 1 species
AUACGGAAGAUCCGGGCGUUAUCCGGAUUUAUUGGGUUUAAAGGGAGCGCAGGCGGAGAUGCAAGCGUGACGUCAAAUUUCGGGGCUCAACCCCGUCUCGCGUCGCGAACUGCGUCCCUUGGUUGCGGGAAGGGGAGGCGGAACUCGUGGUGUAGCGGUGAAAUGCAUAGAUAUCACGAAGAACUCCGAUCGCGAAGGCAGCCUUCCGGCCCGUCAACGACGCUCAUGCUCGAAGGUGCGGGUAUCAAACAGGAUUAGAUACCCUGGUAGUCCGCACAGUAAACGAUGGACACCCGCGGUUUGGCCUGUAUGGCUGAGCCGCCAAGCGAAAGCGUUAAGUGUCCCACCUGGGGAGUACGCCGGCAACGGUGAAACUCAAAUGAAUUGACGGGG